rnacentral:rRNA from 1 species
AACGCUAGCUACAGGCUUAACACAUGCAAGUCGCGGGGCAGCAUUUUCCUAGCUUGCUAGGGAAGAUGGCGACCGGCGCACGGGUGAGUAACGCGUAUCCAACCUUCCCAUGUCCACGGGAUAGCCCGUCGAAAGGCGGAUUAAUACCGUAUGAGGUCACAUGCGGGCAUCUAAUUGUGACGAAAGGUUUUGCGGACAUGGAUGGGGAUGCGUCCGAUUAGCUAGUUGGCGGGGUAACGGCCCACCAAGGCGACGAUCGGUAGGGGUUCUGAGAGGAAGGUCCCCCACAUUGGAACUGAGACACGGUCCAAACUCCUACGGGAGGCAGCAGUGAGGAAUAUUGGUCAAUGGACGCAAGUCUGAACCAGCCAAGUAGCGUGCAGGAUGACGGCCCUAUGGGUUGUAAACUGCUUUUAUGCGGGGAUAAAGUUAGGGAUGUAUCCCUUUUUGCAGGUACCGCAUGAAUAAGGACCGGCUAAUUCCGUGCCAGCAGCCGCGGUAAUACGGAGGAUCCGGGCGUUAUCCGGAUUUAUUGGGUUUAAAGGGAGCGUAGGCCGCCUUUUAAGCGUGUUGUGAAAAACCGGGGCUCAACUCCGGUCGUGCAGCGCGAACUGGAGGGCUUGAGUCCGCAGAAAGUGCGCGGAAUUCGUGGUGUAGCGGUGAAAUGCUUAGAUAUCACGAAGAACUCCGAUUG